GCCGGAUUGUGUAGAUGGAAAUUUCUAAUUUUUAUACAAUUAUUGGACCUAACCGCGGGAGCAGUUGUGAAAAAUGCAACUCUAGGCCCUCUCACAGGAAUCGAACCUACUAUACCUAAGUCUGGUAAUUAAUAAAUGUAUAAAAAUGACACUCGAAAUCUACAAAUCCCUUCAACAAUGAGUUCUACUGAUAUGGCACGAGAUGCCCCAAAUCCUGAUAUUUAACAAAUGAAUUUAGUGACUUUGAGAACUCUCUUUUAGACUUUCACUAAGGAAGAGAUUAUUUCGCUGGCCUCAGAGUGACAAAACGUAACAAAGCAACGGUUUUACUAACACUAACCCUACUCCAAACACCAACUCUAACCCUAACCCGAAUCUUUACCCUAACCUAACCCUACUCCAAAUUUGUUUCUAAACCAGUCCUGAAAGUUUUGACGAAAUGUCAUUCUGAGGUCAACGAAAUAGUUGAUUCCUUCAUUUAAUUCUCCUUUAGAAUAAGAGUUGGCUGCCAUAUCAGCUUCAUUGUCACAUUUCGUGAAGCCCUUCUUUCUUUUGGAGACCAUCUGUUCAUAUGAAGUACAAGUUUUGCGAAGCCCUUCUUUCUUUUGGAGACCAUCUGUUCAUAUGAAGUACAAGUUUUAAAACUGUGUUUUCUUUGUAAAAUUAUCAAUAAUUCGUGAAGAAAAUUCAAAACAAAUCAAUGUUUAAUGAGGUAUCGCAUCCACCACAUAUACAAAAUUCAGCUUUUUCCUCGAUUUUCUCAGUUAAAUUCACUUCUUCAAAGAAUAAUUUCUUAAAACAGCUGUCAGUUGAAGAAGUCCUUACGUUUACAAGAAAUCGCGUCCGUGCUUGUUAUCAGACAUAAAACCCCUCGCCUUUGGCUCGGUACACUGAUACAACACGCAGUGAUGUCCAAAACACGCUGACGAAACGUCAAAGGGAAUAUAUUUGACACGAGUUUUCAUAUGUGGUUUACCGCCAACAAACGUACGAUUCAACGAUAUAUAGCAAAAUAUAUUGCAAUGGAGAAAGUAAGAGAACGGAAUUCUCCAUCUGUGCCGUGACUGGAGACGAUCUUUUAAAUCUAAUGGAUAUUACAGACAUACAUAAUCACUACAUGACAAAGAAUUUUACUUCACAACAGGGAAUGUUAUAAGGAUGGGUUAACGUAUAUCGACUCACGACCUCAUCAGCAUUACUCAUCAGCUGUGGACUUGCUUUAAAUCUGCACCUCAAAAGCCUGUGCGAAAAUGUGGGCGGAAGAAAUUUCUUUCUCCUCGCCUUAAAAUUCCUAGGAUUAUAUUUCCGUGCAAACUGGCAUGGAGCAAGUGGCUACAUUUAAUAGCCGCAGUUAUAUGUUGUGACAGAAUGAACGAUAUCUUUAUUAUUAUAUCUUCUGAUCUCCUCAUAAACUCAAAACUGAACAGACAUCCAAAGGUCAUUUUCAUUUUGAAGAUGAAAUUGUCCCGUUGUAGAAUACGCAAGGUGCAUUGGCCAUGGGAUUUCUCACAAGCACAUUGAUUUGUGAAUGUUCAAAAAAUGGAGGAAUAUUUCGGGAAUUUAAAUACG
rnacentral:lncRNA from 1 species